UGGGGAAUCUUGGACAAUGGGCGCAAGCCUGAUCCAGCCAUGCCGCGUGAGUGAAGAAGGUCUUCGGAUUGUAAAGCACUUUAAGUUGGGAGGAAGGGUUGUAGAUUAAUACUCUGCAAUUUUGACGUUACCGACAGAAUAAGCACCGGCUAACUCUGUGCCAGCAGCCGCGGUAAUACAGAGGGUGCAAGCGUUAAUCGGAAUUACUGGGCGUAAAGCGCGCGUAGGUGGUUAGUUAAGUUGGAUGUGAAAUCCCCGGGCUCAACCUGGGAACUGCAUUCAAAACUGACUGACUAGAGUAUGGUAGAGGGUGGUGGAAUUUCCUGUGUAGCGGUGAAAUGCGUAGAUAUAGGAAGGAACACCAGUGGCGAAGGCGACCACCUGGACUGAUACUGACACUGAGGUGCGAAAGCGUGGGGAGCAAACAGGAUUAGAUACCCUGGUAGUCCCUGAGCGGGCUGGCAAGGCGCAU
rnacentral:rRNA from 1 species